UACGUAGGUGACAAGCGUUGUCCGGAUUUACUGGGCGUAAAGAGCGCGCAGGCGGUCGAUCAAGUCGAGUGUGAAAGCCCCCGGCUCAACUGGGGAGGGUCAUUCGAUACUGAUCGACUCGAAGGCAGGAGAGGGCAGUGGAAUUCCCGGUGUAGUGGUGAAAUGCGUAGAUAUCGUAAGGAAGGCCGGUGGCGAAAGCGAACCUCUGGGCAGCAGCUGACGCUGUGGCACGAAGGCUAGGGGAGCAAACGGG
rnacentral:rRNA from 1 species